GUGGGGAAUAUUGCACAAUGGGCGCAAGCCUGAUGCAGCGACGCCGCGUGAGGGAUGAAGGCCUUCGGGUUGUAAACCUCUUUCAGCAGGGAAGAAGCGAAAGUGACGGUACCUGCAGAAGAAGCGCCGGCUAACUACGUGCCAGCAGCCGCGGUAAUACGUAGGGCGCAAGCGUUGUCCGGAAUUAUUGGGCGUAAAGAGCUCGUAGGCGGUUUGUCGCGUCUGCUGUGAAAACCUGAGGCUCAACCUCGGGCUUGCAGUGGGUACGGGCAGACUAGAGUGCGGUAGGGGUGACUGGAAUUCCUGGUGUAGCGGUGGAAUGCGCAGAUAUCAGGAGGAACACCGAUGGCGAAGGCAGGUCACUGGGCCGCAACUGACGCUGAGGAGCGAAAGCAUGGGGAGCGAACAGGAUUAGAUACCCUGGUAGUCCAUGCCGUAAACGUUGGGCACUAGGUGUGGGGCUCAUUCCACGAGUUCCGUGCCGCAGCAAACGCAUUAAGUGCCCCGCCUGGGGAGUACGGCCGCAAGGC
rnacentral:rRNA from 1 species